AACUAAAAUGUCCAGGUUGUGCCAGAUAUUGCAUAGGUAUUUAUGGUGGAGAAACCAAACUUUGAUAAAAUGUUAAAAGGCUCUGAAAUAAUUAAAACAUUAGUUAAAAUAAUUAAAUAAAUGCCUUUUGCAAUUAAUAAAAUAUUAAACUAAAUUAUUUAUUUGCCCAAACUUAUGUGCCAGUAGCAUAAUUAUUAACACUAAAUUAGGGACUACAUUUAUAAUUAGGGACUCCUUUUUUCACCAUACUUUCACUUUCCAUGGCUAGCCGUAUCCACGGGUGCCUUCCAUACAACCACUUCCCAAGGAAUUUAUUAUUUGACAACACAACAUAAAUUAAUUUUUCAUUUCGCGGCUGGGCAUCCAUAAUACCUUUGGCGUACUCUUGUGCGAUGACAAGUGAAAAACACUCAUCAUGAGAAUAACAUAUCUAGCAUGGAAAUAUAUCAGCCACCCCUACCGUUUCAUGAGCAGUACGAGCACACAAAAGAGAAGUUUAUUUUGAAAAUUAGAGAUUGAUACGUCUCCAACGUACCUAUAAUUUUUGAUUGCUCCAUGCUAUAUUAUCUACUAUUUUGGGCAAUAUUGAGCUUUAUUUUCCACUUUUAUAUUAUUUUUGGGACUAACCUAUUAACCGGAGGCCCAACCCAGAUUUGUUGUUUUAUGCCUAUUUCAGUGUUUCGAAGAAAAGGAAUAUCAAACGGAGUCGAAACGGAACGAAAUCAACUGGAGAAGUUAUUUUUGGAAUGAAAGCCACCGGAUAGACUUGGACUCCACAUCAGGAGAUACGGGAGGUGCUCACGAGGGUGGGGCGCCCCCCUAGGGCAUGCCCCUUGCCUCGUGGGGCCCCCGUGGCUCCUCCGACGUACAUCCUGCACCCAUAUAUAUCGUCGUACCCUAAAACUUCCAGAACGAAUAAUAGAUCGGGAGUUCCGCCGUUAGAAGCCUCCGUAGCCACCGAAAGCCAAUCUAGACCCGUUCCGGCACCCUGCCGGAGGGGGAAUCCCUCUCCGGUGGCCAUCUUCAUCAUCCCGGUGCUCUCCAUGACGAGGAGGGAGUAGUUCUCCCUCGGGGCUGAGGGUAUGUACCACUAGCUAUGUGUUUGAUCUCUCUUUCUCUCUCUCUCGUGUUCUUGAUUUGGCACGAUCUUGAUGUAUAGCGAGCUUUGCUAUUAUAGUUGGAUCUUAUGUUUCUCCUCCCCCUCUUCUCUCUUGUAAUGAAUUGAGUUUCCCCUUCGAAGUAAUCUUAUCGGAUUGAGUCUUUAAAGAUUUGAGAACACUUGAUAUAUGUCUUGCCGUGCGUAUCUGUGGUGACAAUGGGAUAUCACGUGAUUAACUUGAUGUAUGUUUUUGUGAUCAAAUUGCGGGUUCCGCCCAUGAACCUAUGCAUAGGGGUUGGCACACGUUUUCGUCGUGAUUCUCCGGUAGGAACUUUGGGGCACUCUUUGAGGUCCUUUGUGUUGGUUGAAUAGAUGAAUAUGAGAUUGUGUGAUGCAUAUUGUACAAUCAUACCCAUGGAUACUUGAGGUGACAUUGGAGUAUCUAGGUGACAUUAAGGUUUUGGUUGAUUUGUGUCUUAAGGUGUUAUUCUACUACGAACUCUAGGGCUGUUUGUGACACCUAUAGGAAUAGCCCAAUGGAUCGAUUGGAAAGAAUAACUUUGAGGUGGUUUUGUACUCUACCAUAAUCUCUUCGUUUGUUCCACUAGUAGUGACUUUGGAGUGAUUCUUUGUUGCAUGUUGAUGGAUGGUUAUAUGAUCCAAUUAUGUUAUCAUUGUUGAGAGGACUUACACUAGCGAAAGUAUGAACCCUAGGCCUUGUUUCAACGCAUUGCAAUACCGUUUACGCUCACUUUUAUCAUUAGUUACCUUGCUGUUUUUAUAUUUUCAGAUUACAAAAACCUUUAUCUACUAUCCAUAUACCACUUGUAUCACCAUCUCUUCACCGAACUAGUGCACCUAUACAAUUUACCAUUGUAUUGGGUGUGUUGGGGACACAAGAGACUCUUUGUUAUUUGGUUGCAGGGUUGCUUGAGAGAGACCAUCUUCAUCCUACACCUCCUACGGAUUGAUAAACCUUAGGUCAUCCACUUGAGGAAAAUUUGCUACCGUCCUACAAACCUCUACACUUGGAGGCCCACGUCUACAAGAUGAAGGUUGUGUAGUAGACAUCAAGCUCUUUUCUGGCGCCGUUGCCGGGGAGGUUAGCGCUUGAAGGUAUAUCUUUAGAUAUUGCAAUCGAGUAUUUUAGUUUCUUGUUUUAUCACUAGUUUAGUUUAUAAAAGAGAACUAUAAAAAAAUAUGGAAUUGAGUUUGUCUCAUACGCUUCACCUUUUUAAUAUCUUUCAUGAGUAUGAUGGAAAGGAUAGUUGUGCUCAAGUGCUAGAAGAAGAAACCUAUAAAAUGUUUGGCACUAAAUAUUUGAAUGAUGAGCAUGAUUGCAAUAUUGUUAGUACAAAUUCUUUGAAUAUCCAUGAUGCUAAUGAUGAUUGCACUAGUUAUGAUGAAAAUGCCUCCUAUCAACAUGUCAAUUUUUGUGGAGUAGACUGGGUUUGCAAGUACACACCAAAUAGGGAAGAUAGAUAUUGCAAGAGGCAUAAGUACUUAGAAACUAAAGUGUUGCAAGAAGAGCUAGAUGAAUGUGCUGAAAAUUUAAGAUAUCUUACCCAUACUUGCGAACUUUGCAAUGAACAUGGUCACUUAAAUAUCAAAUGAAAUUGUUUCAUGACCGUAUCGUGUCUAAAAAUUGUGAUGACUUGAUUUCCCUUGCACAUCAUAAUGAACUUAGUUUGCUCUUGGGUUAUGAAGAAAUGAAACGUAUAACUGAGGGUAUUCCAAAAUUUAAUCUCGAUAAACUUCUUGGUUUUGAACUACAGAAGAUUUAUAUGUAUUGUGCGGUGAAUUGCAUUGAAAAUCCUUAUAUUGCCAAUUACAUAAAGAAAAGAAAACAAAUAGGAGAUGAAGAGAAUACUAAUGAAAGGGAAGAGACCUCCCAAUAUCCUCCUAUUAUUUCUUAUGAUGAAUCAUGUAACGAGGAGGAGCCUCCUAUUCAACCAAUCUCAUUAAUAAGGAGCUCCAAAAAGAGGAUUGAACCCACACAUGAUGUGGUGAAGAAGAAGAAAAAAAAAAGGAAGAGAGGUAAAAAGAUGUCUCUCCCAAAUAAUGCUGACCCUAUUACUAUUGUGCCUCAUGAAAAUAUAAUUGUGGAAGAUAAUGAUACUUCUUAUGAUCUUGAAAAUCUUUUUGACACUUGCUUGGAAGAAUAUAAUAAUUGCUAUACUAUCGGUGCUAUCUAUACUAUUAAUGAUGAGAGUGAUUAUGCUUAUGAUAUGAAAAGGCCCAAGCUUGGGGAAGCUAUGUUUGAUGAGGAUGACAUAUUUGAGAAUAUAUUUGCUGCAAUUAAUGUUUGUCCCAAGCUUGGGGAAGCUAUGAUUAAUGAAGAUGAUAUUUUUAGUCUCCCAAGUUUUGAUAUGCAAGUUUAUAAUGAUGAUAGCAUGCCCCCUACUUAUGAUGAUUAUUGUGAUGAUACUUAUGCUAUAAAAAUUAGUGAUUAUAUUUAUAAAACUUGUCAUAGUUAUGAUUACCCCUUCUCUUAACAUUACUCUUUUAAUGUGGAAACAAUUUAUAGUAUUCAAGUUUCCUGUGAUACUCCCACUAUUCCGAAUGAGAAGAAUUUUGCUUAUGUGGAGAGUAGUAAAUUUUCUAUGCUUGUAGAUCAUGAAAAGAAUGCUUUAGGUGCUGGUUAUAUUGUUGAAUUCAUUCAUGAUGCUACUGAAAAUUAUUAUGAGGGAGGAACAUAUGCUUGUAGGAAUUGCAAUAAUAUCAAGUUUCCUCUCUAUGUGCUUAAAAUUUUGAAGUUAUGCUUGUUUUACCUUCCUAUGCAAGUUGAUUCUUGUUCCCACAAGUUGUUUGCUCACAAAAUCCCUAUGAAUAGGAAGUAUUUUAGACUUAAAUGUGCUAGUCAUAUUCUUCAUGAUGCUCUAUUUAUGUUUCAAUUCUUAUCCUUUAUGUGAGCAUCAUUGAAAUCAUCAUGCCUAGCUAGGGGCGUUAAACGAUAGCGCUUGUUGGGAGGCAAACCAAUUUUAUUUUUGUUCCUUGCUUUUUGUUCCUGUUUAGUAAUAAAAAAUUCAUCUAUCCUCUGUUUAGAUGUGGUUUUAUGCUUUUAAUUAGUGUUUGUGACAAGUAGAACCUUUGGGAAGACUUGGGGAAAGUCUUGUUGAUCAUGCUGUCAAAGACAGAAACUUUAGCGCUCACGAGAAUUGCUGCAAUUUUUAUCUGGAGAGUGCUAUUUAGUUAAUUAUUUUUGAAGAUGAUUAAUAGAUAAAUUACUCAGGUCCAGCAAUUUAUUUGAGAAUUUUAUGAGUUCCAGAAGUAUGCGUUUGAUCCAGAUUACUACAGACUGUUCUGUUUUUGACAGAUUCUUUUUUCAUGUGUUGUUUACUUAUUUUGAUGAAUCUAUGGCUAGUAAAAUAGUUUAUAAACCAUAGAGAAGUUGGAAUACAGUAAGUUUAACACCAAUAUAAAUAAAAAAUAAGUUCAUUACAGUACCUAAGUGGUGAUUUAUUUUCUUAUACUAACGGAGCUUACGAGUUUUCUGUUAAGUUUUGUGUUGUGAAGUUUUCAAGUUUUGGGUAAGGAUUCGAUGGACUAUGGAAUAAGGAGUGGCAAGAGCCUAAGCUUGGGGAUUCCCAAGGCACCCCAAGGUAAUAUUCAAGGACAACCAAGAGCCUAAGCUUGGGGAUGCCCCGGAAGGCAUUCCCUCUUUCGUCUUCAUUCAUCGGUAACUUUACUUGGAGCUAUAUUUUUAUUCGCCACAUGAUAUGUGUUUUGCUUGGAGCGUCAACUUAUUUUAUUUGGAAUUGCUUGCUGUUAUUUAGAACAAUGUUUUGCAUCUUUUAUUUCAGUAAAAGUGGCAUUGAUAGCCUUUACUAUGCCUGUUUUAGAAGUCCACAUGUUUCUGUUUGAAAACAGAAAGUUUACCGCUGUUGCAAUAAUUCAAUAGAAAAGUGAGAAUGUGAUAAAAUGUUGAAACAUUUUGAAUAUUAAGCUAUGAUAAAUUUACUACAGUGGGAAUUUUCUUUCAUAAUUUUUGGAGCUAGGGAAGUAUGGAUGUUGCAGCAUUCUUUACAGACUAUCCUGUUUAGGCAGAUUGUUGUUAUGUUUGCUUUGUUUGCAUAUGUUUGCUUCUUUAAUGAUUCUAUUUGAGGAUAGGACUAUUAAAUAUGCAGAGGCAUUUAGUAUGCAAUGUUGAAUAAUAAUUUUAGUUAUUUGCUACAGUAGAGUAUGAUAAGGUUUUUGCAAUGGUUUAUACUAACUUAUCUCACGAGUCCUUGUUGAGUUUUGUGUGGAUGAAGCUUUUGAGAUUUAGGGAGACCGUGAUAUGAGAGGAAUUAAGAAGACACAAAAGCUCGAGAUUGGGGAUGCCCAAGGCACCCCAAGAUAAUAUUUCAAGAAGUCUCAAGCGUCUAAGCUUGGGGAUGCCCCGGUUGGCAUCCCACCUAUCUUCUUCAACAACUAUCGGUUAGUUUCGGUUGAUCCUAAGCUUUUGCUUCUUCACAUGAUGUUUGCCAUUCUUAGAAUGUCAUUUUAUUUUGCUUUGUUUGCUGUUUUAAUAGAAUACCAAGAUAUGAAAUUAUUAAAUGUUAGAGAGUCUUCACAUAGUUGCAUAAUUAUUCGACUACUCAUUGAUCUUCACUUAUAUCUUUCGGAGUAGUUUGUCAUUUGCUCUAGUGCUUCACUUAUAUAUUUUAGAGAAUGGUGGUAGUUUUAUUUUGAAGAAAUAGAUGAACUCUCAUGCUUCACUUAUAUUAUUUUGAGAGUUUUAAAUAGCAUGGUAAUUUGCUUAAAAUCCUAAUAUGCUAGGUAUUCAAGAAUAAUAAAAUUCUCUUAUGAGUGUGUUGAAUACUAUGAGAAGUUUGAUACUUGAUAAUUGUUUUGAGAUAUGGAGAUGGUGAUAUUAGAGUCAUGCUAGUUGAGUAGUUGUGAAUUUGAGAUAUACUUGUGUUGAAGUUUGUGAUUCCCGUAGCAUGCAUGUAUGGUGAACCGUUAUGUGAUGAAGUCGGAGAAUGAUUUAUUUAUUGAUUGCCUUCCUUAUGAGUGGCGGUCGGGAACGAGCGAUGGUCUUUUCCUACCAACCUAUCCCCCUAGGAGCAUGCGCGUAGUACUUUGUUUUGAUAACUUGUAGAUUUUUGCAAUAAGUAUAUGAGUUCUUUAUGACUAAUGUUGAGUCCAUGAAUUAUACGCACUCUCAUCCUUCCACCAUUGCUAGCCUCUCCAAUACCGCGCACCUUUCGUCGGUAUCAUACACCUACCAUAUCCUUCCUCAAAACAGCCACCAUACCUACCUAUUAUGGCAUUUCCAUAGCCAUUCCGAGAUAUAUUGCCAUGCAACUUUCCACCAUUCCGUUCAUCAUGACACAUUCGUCAUUGUCAUAUUGCUUAGCUUGAUCAUGUAGUUGACAUAGUAUUUGUGGCAAAGCCACUGUUCAUGAUUCUUUCAUACUUGUCACUCUUGAUUCAUUGCAUAUCCUGGUACACCACCGGAGGCAUCCAUAUAGAGUCAUACUUUGUUCUAGUAUCGAGCUGUAAUCAUUGAGUUGUAAAUAAAUAGAAGUGUGAUGAUCAUCAUUCAAUAGAGCAUUGUCCCAAAAAAAAGAGAGAAAGGCCAAAAAAAGGGAGGCCAAAAAAUAAAAUAAAGGCCAAAUAAAAAAAGGCCAAAUAAAAAUAAAAAAUAAAAAAAUAAAAGGGACAAUGCUACUAUCCUUUUCCACACUUGUGCUUCAAAGUAGCACCAUGAUCUUCAUAGUAGAGAGUCUCUCAUGUUGUCGCUUUCAUAUACUAGUGGGAAUCUUUCAAUAUAGAACUUGGCUUGUAUAUUCCAAUGAUGGGCUUCCUCAAAAUGUCCUAGGUCUUCAUGAGCAAGCGAGUUGGAUGCACACCCACUAGUUUCUUUUGUUGAGUUUUCAUACACUUAUAGCUCUAGUGCAUCCGUUGCAUGGCAAUCCCUACUCACUCACAUUGAUAUCUAUUAAUGGGCAUCUCCAUAGCCUGUUGAUACGCCUAGUUGAUGUGAGACUAUCUUCUCCUUUUUGUCUUCUCCACAACCACCAUUCUAUUCCACCUAUAGUGCUAUGUCCAUGGCUCACGCUCAUAUAUUGCGUGAAGAUUGAAAAAGUUUGAGAACAUCGAAAGUAUGAAACAAUUGCUUGGCUUGUCAUCGGGGUUGUGCAUGAUUUAAAUAUUUUGUGUGGUGAAGAUGGAGCAUAGUCAGAGUUUAUUAUUUUGUUGGGAUAACUUUCUUUGGCCAUGUUAUUUUGAGAAGACAUGAUUGCUUAGUCAGUAUGCUUGAAGUAUUAUUAUUUUUAUGUCAAUAUGAACUUUUGUCUUGAAUCUUUCGGAUCUGAAUAUUCAUAUCACAAGUAAGAAGAAUUACAUUGAAAUUAUGCCAACUAGCAUUCCACAUCAAAAAUUAUCUUUUUAUCAUUUACCUACUCGAGGACAAGCAGGAAUUAAGCUUGGGGAUGCUUGAUACGUCUCCAACGUAUCUAUAAUUUUUUAUUGCUCCAUGCUAUAUUAUCUACUGUUUUGGGCCAUAUUGGGCUUUAUUUUCCACUUUUAUAUUAUUUUUGGGACUAACCUAUUAACCGAAGGCCCAACCCAGAUUUGUUGUUUUAUGCCUAUUUCAGUGUUUCGAAGAAAAGGAAUAUCAAACGGAGUCGAAACGGAACGAAAUCAACUGGAGAAGUUAUUUUUGGAACGAAAGCCACCAGAUAGACUUGGACUCCACGUCAAGAGAUACAGGAGGUGCUCAGGAGGGUGGGGGUGCCCCCCCUAGGGCACGCCCCCCUGCCUCGUGGGGCCCCCGUGGCUCCUCCGACGUACUUCCUGCACCCAUAUAUAUCGUCGUACCCUAAAACUUCCAGAACGAAUAAUAGAUCGGUAGUUCCGCCGUCAGAAGCCUCCGUAGCCACCGAAGGCCAAUCUAGACCUGUUUCGGCACCCUGCCGGAGGGGGAAUCCCUCUCCGGUGGCCAUCUUCAUCAUCCCAGUGCUCUCCAUGACGAGGAGGGAGUAGUUCUCCCUCGGGGCUGAGGGUAUGUACCAGUAGCUAUGUGUUUGAUCUCUCUCUCUCUCUCUCUCUCUCUCUCGUGUUCUUGAUUUGGCACGAUCUUGAUGUAUCGCGAGCUUUGCUAUUAUAGUUGGAUCUUAUGUUUAUCCUCCCCCUCUUCUCUCUUGUAAUGAAUUGAGUUUCCCCUUCGAAGUAAUCUUAUUGGAUUGAGUCUUUAAAGAUUUGAGAACACUUGAUAUAUGUCUUGCCGUGCGUAUCUGUGGUGACAAUGGGAUAUCACGUGAUUAACUUGAUGUAUGUUUUUGUGAUCAACUUGCGGGUUCCGCCCAUGAACCUAUGCAUAGGCGUUGGCACACGUUUUCGUCGUGAUUCUCCGGUAGGAACUUUGGGGCAUCUUUGAGGUCCUUUGUGUUGGUUGAAUAGAUGAAUAUGAGAUUAUGUGAUGCAUAUCGUAUAAUCAUACCCAUGGAUACUUGAGGUGACAUUGGAGUAUCUAGGUGACAUUAGGGUUUUGGUUGAUUUGUGUCUUAAGGUGUUAUUCUAGUAUGAACUCUAGGGCUGUUUGUGACACCUAUAGGAAUAGCCCAACAGAUUGAUUGGAAAGAAUAACUUUGAGGUGGUUUCGUACCCUACCAUAAUCUCGUCGUUUGUUCUCCGCUAUUAGUGACUUUGGAGUGAUUCUUUGUUUCAUGUUGAGGGAUGGUUAUGUGAUCCAGUUAUGUUAUCAUUGUUGAGAGGACUUACACUAGCGAAAGUAUGAACCCCUAGGCCUUGUUUCAAUGCAUUGCAAUACCAUUUUGUGCUCACUUUUAUUAUUAGUUACCUUGCUGUUUUUGUAUUUUUAGAUUACAAAAACCUUUAUCUACUAUCCAUAUACCACUUGUAUCAUCAUCUCUUCGCUGAACUAGUGAACCUAUACAAUUUACCAUUGUAUUGGGUGUGUUGGGGACACAAGAGACUCUUUGUUACUUGGUUGCAGGGUUGCUUGAGAGAGACCAUCUUCAUCCUACGCCUCCUACGGAUUGAUAAACCUUAGGUCAUUCACUUGAGGGAAAUUUUCUACUGUCCUACAAACCUCUGCACUUGGAGGCCCAACAAGGUCUACAAGAAGAAGGUUGUGUAGUAGACAUCAGAGAUGACACAUACAAAUUUGCUUAGAACGGCAAAAGAAUACCGCGUAUAGCUAGGUAUAGUGGACUCAUAUGGCAAAGCUGGUUUAAAGGAUUUUGGAUGCACAAGUAGUGAUCAUACUUAGUGCAAAAUGAAGGCUAGCAAAAGAUUGAGAAGCGACCAACCAAGAAACGAAAAAUCUCAUAAGCGAGCAUUAAGCAUAACUAACACCGAAUAAUGGACCACAAGUAGGAUGUAAUUUAAUUGAAUAACUAUUGACUUUCGUGCUUGCAUAGGGAAUCACAAACCUUAACACCAAUAUUCUUACUAAAGCAUAAUUACCCAUCAACAUGACUCACAUAUUAUAUCAACAUAUCUCAAAACUAUUACAAGAAAUCAAGUUUAUUUUGUACAAUGAUCUUCAUAAAAGUUUUUAUUAUAUCUUCCUUGGAUAUCUAUCAGUUUGGGACUAGUUUCAUAUGUUUCUUUUGAUAUAUAGCUCAAACAAAUAUAAGUGAAGAACAUGAGCAUACAAAAAUUUCUUCUCUCAAGUUAAUAUAAGUGAAGCAAGAGAGAAUUUCUUCAAAAAAUUACUAACUCUCAAAUAAAUCUAAGUGAAGCAUAAGAGCAUUUAUUCAAAAAUACUAAAGCACACCGUGCUAAAAAAGAUAUAAGUGAAGCACUAGAGCAAUUCCAUAUCUCAUAAAGAUUUAAGUGAAGCAUAGAGAGCAAUUAUAACAAGUCAUGGCAUAAAUUUGACUCUCUCAAAAAGGUGUGUCCAGCAAGGAUUCAUGACUAAAAACACAAAGCAAAGCAAGCAAAGACUCAUAUCAUACAAGACGCUCCAAGCAAUACUCAUAAUAUGCGACGAAUAAAAAUAUAGUUUCAAGUAAAAUACCGAUGGUUGUUAGAAGAAAGAGGGGAUGCCACUCGGGGGCAUCCUCAAGCUUAGUUGCUUGAUACUUCUUGAAUAUUAUCUUGGGAUGACACGGGCAUCCCCAAUCUUAGCUUUUUGCUAAUCCUUAUUCCUUCAUCCAUCGUAAAGUCACCCAAAUUUGAAAACUCCAAUCACACAAAACUUAACAAAACCUUCGUGAGAUCCGUUAGUGUAAGAAAGCAAAUCACUACUAUAAGUAUUGUGCAAACCCAUUCAUAUUUUAUUAUUGCAUUAUAUCUACUGUAUUACAAUUUUUCUAUGGCAAAAACUCUUCAAAGAAAACAAUAGAAUCAUCAAAACAAACACACAACGCAAAGAAAACAGAAUUUGUCAAAAACAGAAUAGUCUGUAGCAAUAUGGAGAAUUCGAGUACUUCUGUAACUCUAAAAAUUCUGAAAAAUUAGGACGACGUGAUAAAUUUGUAUAUUAAUCUUCUGUAAAAAAACUCAGGACUUUAUCGCACAUCUGUAAAUGUAAACAAUUCUGCGACUAGGUGCAAAACUUUGUGUUUUUUAGCAAGAUCAAAUUAACUAUCACCCAACAUAAUCCUAAAGGCUCUACUUGGCACAAACACUAAUUAAAACACAAAAAAUACAAUCAUAACAGUAGCAUAAUUGUGCAAACACUCAAGAACAGAAAGAAGAAGACAAAAAUAAAUUUUAUUCAUUGGGUUGUCUCCCAACAAGCGCUAUUGUUUUAUGCCCCUAGCUAGGCAUAAUGCAAAGGAUCUAAGUAUUGUCAUCUUUGGUAUCCAACUCUUCAAUCAAGCACUUGGAAUUUUUCAAGGAUUAGCAUAAAAAUUUUCAAUGACAAUACUCUUAGGAACAUGUUUAAGGAAUUCAUUCUUGCACAAAGGAUCUCUUAUAACUUCAACAAAAUCCGGGUGAAUACUAAUAAUCUUGAGAUCUUCUUUACUGCUAUUACUAGAAGUUGCACCGUUGUUCUUAGUAACUUGAGUAAUCUUGCCAACUUUUAUGGGAGUUUUUUCAAUGGUUUUAGCGGAAGCAAAAGCCGUACUUAGAUUACUAAAGAUUUCUUCCAGUUUAUCAAUCUGAGAUGGGCUUUCUUCAAUUCUUUCAUGAAUUACGGUACUCUUUUCUUUUAACAACUUAAAAAUUUCUCCCGCUUUUGACCAAAUUUUAGUAGAAAAAUUAUGCAUGUUUUAUCCAAGUUUUCAAUAUGUUCUUUGGUAAGCAUUUUCUUUUCAGUAGCAUCUACUCUUUCCCUAACAUGCUUAAGAGUCAAAGUUGUUUCAUUAACCAUAAGCGGUGGUGAACCCACUAAAUUUCACAUAGCAUUAUAAGCAUCAAGAGAGGGACACAUCAAGAAAUUUCCACCGGUAAUCGUAUCAAGGACGAAUCUAUAUCAAGUGGUGAUGCCCACAUAAAAACAACAAAGAAGAACAACGGUAGAUUGCUUACGGAUAGAUCUAUUAUGAGCAUUGCAAAUCCUAUACCAAGCAUCCUUUAAAUUCUCCCCUCUCCUUUGUUUAAAGUUAAGAACCUCGUUCUAAGGAGUGCAUGCAAUAGCAGAAGAACUAUCCAUAUCGACAAGAAGUAGCGAACAAGAUUGCACUCAAAAACAGAUCUGACGAGAAAACGACGCACAAAAAAGACGGUGAAUAAAACAGGAAAUUUUUGUGAAGUGGGGGUGAGGAAAACGAGAGGCAAAUGGAAAACAAGAUUACCUAGGCAAGCAAACCGGUUCAAAUUCAAAUUCAAAUUCUAGUUAAAUAGUAAAGGUUUUCAAAUAUUAAAACUAAAAUGUCCGGAUUGUGCCAGAUAUUGCAUAGGUAAUUACUAGCAAAAAUGCCCGUGCAUUGCAACGGGAAAAGAAAAAUAUCGCAUGUCCGGCUUCUGUGAUGUCUAAAGACCCCUCUUCUCUCUCACACACAUACAUGCACAUGGAUGUGCCUUCUAUUUUGACAUGACACCCGAACCCAAGUCGGCCGUUCACCACCUGAUCAUCCACACCACCUGAUCAUCCAUGUAUCCUGACAUGGUCGAGACGAGCUCAUCCACGAUACUGCCCGAACCACACCCAUGCAAGGGAAUGUUCAUAUAAAACAUAUAAAAAACUAAUCUCAUCGAGCUACAAGUGAGGACCGCCCAUGGCAAUCUUAAAAUAAACAUUUGGAAUUUCAAAAUUUGUUAAGGUUGCAAAAUUUUGUUUGAAUUUUUGAUAUUUAUUCAUGAUUUUAAAAAUGUAUUCAAAUAUUUGAAGGAAAAUCAUCCACACUUGUUUCCAAGAAUUGUUGAAAAUAUUUAAGAAAAAUAAACAGACCUGUCGCUAAACUACUUUAACUGGGGCGCUGCAAUUUGAGUAGUCGGCAGCUAGCUCAUGUGGUUGGCGUCGCUGCUACCUAGCUUGAGUUCGCGAGAUCGAACCCAUCGCGUGCGGUUUUGUUUUUCGUGCCAUUUUUACGUGCUCGUUUCCUGGUUAUGGGCCGGCCCGAUUACGCGAGCCUGAAAGCUCGACUGUUAGCUUGACUGAAUGUUGCAAGGUCCUGGAUGUACCUAACUGAAUGUGCAAUGGCACUGUACAUGAAGCAGAGUAACAGACAAUGUUGCUGAUGCACUACAUUUGUAGCUCAUAUUCUAGUUUCUCCUGGAACAUGUAUGAAUCAUGGUGGCACUUUGCUUUAAGGUCUUGUGCUAGCUAUGUGGCUGUGAGAGCUGGGUGUAGUUCCUAGCGUCCUCGCCUUGUUUGUUUUGGUUGUUGCACCUACUCUAGCUUCUAAUACAUUCAUAUGCAUCUCUUCUAAUUUCAAUAGUAUUAUACAUAUAAUCCUAUAUUUCAAUUGUACCCAAAUUUUUGUGUGACUGCAGAAACCACAAGAUAAAUAAAAUGCUGACGAAAAGAUGACAGAUGGAAAUCUGUACCUCACCAGUUCAACAUAUACCUCUCCAAAUGGUCAGGCCCAAGUCACAACGAAUAUAUCAGGCUCUAGCAGCCUUCUCCAUCCUCCUCCUCUCUAUGAAUUACCUGUAUGAGCGGGUAGUUAGGAACUUACGAUUAUCAUAAAGAUUUAUUGUCUCAGUGGAAAAACUAUGAUAAACUUUUUCUAGCUUCUUCAGCAAGGCAGGAGAUCUGUCGUAGGAUCUCAUGGGAUAGCUUGGUUUCUUGUGACACAUGAACGCACCUGUUCAUAUAUGUCUCACAGCCUAUAAAGUUACUUAGCAAUGUAAUACAUUUUUUCAAGUAAAAUAACACAGCAGAAGAAAUAGAAAACUUUUAAUCUCUGAAACCUAGCUACCCUUAUCUACCCAGUUGAUCUUAACUUCCAAACUAUAUCAACGAUAUCUUGGAUUUGAGAAAAUAAAAGCAUAUUUGAAGUUAUUAUUGUUGACACUACUACUCAAAUAUCCAAACAAUCGUUUAAUCAGAUUCAGCAGACCUUCAUACAAAUAUGAGUGUAGAAUGAAAACAUUAAACCAACGAAUCUAGGUUCCAUUGUCACCAACAUACACAAAUACAAAUGGAGUUAGUGAAGGCAGAUGUUAACUUUGGCUUGAAAGGGAAGUGAUAUCAUCAUAGACGGGAUCAAUUUUGGUGGAAUGACCUUCAUCUUCAGGGAAAGAAUGGAUAAAUAUAAAGAGAGAGCAUGCAUGAGAUUUAUAGCAGAACAAAACAAAGCAUGACAUAUCCCCGCCCAGCCUCCUUCAUUUCUUCAGCACUUUGUUAUCACAUCCCAGAUCGAUUUGGCUCGGUUCUAGAGGACCUUGUCUUAAUUGAAGAUUAAUUUAAAGCCAACCUGCACCAAGUUUCCUCCAUUGGUGACAUAGUGGGCUAAAACUGGGGGAGGCCAAAGAAGUGCUGCCUUCAUAGGCUUCGCUGAUCAAUCCGCUCUUCUCAAUUAAUCUUGCUAUGAAUACUUAUUAGUACAAGGGAAUUUUUACCCACCCGAACUCUAUUGUUGAACUCAGCAUGGCUAAGGUCCCACAGUCCAGCGUGCGCUAUCACGCCAAUAGGGGGCGGCUCUCCAGCACCAUCAUCCCCGCCAUUCACUAUCCUCAGCUUUGUCAAGAAGAUUGCCUGCAAUGCACGAUUCGAACCAUGUCCAAGAAGUUUGGACAAUGAACAGGUUGUAUGUGAUACUGAACAAGAAUAAUUGUAUGGCAGAAAACAUUGCUGAAUCUUUGAACCUGUCCUUGCAAGGCAAAGUGAAAGAAAUGUAUGAGGUGACCCACCCAAAGAUUACUAAUUAUCGCUAAUUACAAAUGGGCGAACAGAGCAGGUUUCAAACGGUACUGGAUCAUUCUUGCAGGCAGGGGAAUAAGGAUGUUGGGUUGAUGCUAUUCAAGAAGGAAAAGGCGGAGGUCAUCACGAACCUUUAGGAGAUGGGCGUUCUCGUGGGACAAGCUCGCAACCACGCCGCGCUGCUCCUGCGCCCACUGAGGCAGAGGGGGAGGAUGAACACGUCAACGAGCAGAAAGAAAUCAAAAUCGAAGCGGGCCGAAUUGGCGGAAGGAGGCGGGCGGGCGCAGAUCUCAUGGCCCGGUGGAUCACCUUGUCCUGCGCGCUGGCUUUGGCCUCGUCCUCCGUCGCUACUGCCUCGUCGUGCUCGUCGUCCUCGGGGGUGUCCGGGCUGGCGACGCCCUCGCUCCUAUCGUCAUCUGGCGCGGGCUUCUCGGCCGGCGGCGCCACUCGGGCCUUCCUCGACCAGCGCCGGCCCCAAGAUGGGAUCUCCGGCUGCUGCUGCUGCUGCUGGCGGUGGCGGCUGUUGCUGGGGUAACUUGGGGCAGGGGUAGGCACUCCGGCAGCGCGCGGCGAGGGAGGGGCAGCAGCGUGCGGUGACGGGAGGCGGGCUGGCGGCGCGCCGGCGGGGUGGGGACAGAGGUGGCGGCGCGCUGGAGUGGAGAUGGGAUUGACAGGAAGGGUCGUGCUGGUCUGGAUCUAGCCGCUGCGGGAGCGCCAUGGCUUCCCUUCUCAAUCUAGGUGGAAGAGAAGGGAAGGAGGAGGAGGCAAGGGGAGGUCGCCGGUGCGGAGAUGAUGGAGGCCGGAGGCGGACGGGGAGAGCGCGUGCCGGCAAGGGGCGGCGGAUGACGCGGGCUGGCGGCGAGGUGGCGGCGUCGCCAGAUGCAGCCGGGGUCGAGGGGUGGAACAAAGGAGUGCGGACUGAAUUUCAAACAAAAAUAGGGUUUUUUCACAAAAACACGAAGCGUUUUCCAGAUUCACUUAAGAAGGGACUGCGGGUUUAAUUUCCAAAAACUGCAGGGACUUUUUUGCAAAACAACCACGACGGACGGGCAGAAGCACUCCGUGCUUUAUUAGGUAAAAAAAAAUAAUAUAUAUAUAUAUCUCUACUCCUAAUGUCUCAGUUGGUAGGUCGCGUUCCGGGUUUUAUUUUCGUCCCACCAUUUUCGUCCCACCAUUUUCGUCUGAUUUUUUUUCGUUGGUUUUUUUUCGCCGGUUUUUUCGUCCNNNNNNNNNNCCUCUCCAUCCUCCUCCUCAAGACGUCACCAUCGCCUCCGUUCGCCUUCUCCCGCGCCGGCGCCGUCGAGGCCGAGUCGUUCCACUUCCCGCUCUGGCAGGUCUGCGCGGCCGCGUGCGGGGCGUUCGUCUUCUCCCGCGCCGAUGUCGUCGAGGCCGAGGCGUUCGACUUCCCGGCCUGCUAUGGCUGGGUAAUUCUUGUCUUGCUAUAACUCUUCACGUGCAGAGAAGGGAAGAAGAAGGGGAAAGGGGAUAGUCGCCGACACCGCCUAAGCGAAGCGGGUGCUGCUCGCCUGCAACGGCGGCGGCGACGCCGUCUCGCGGGGGGGUCGCCGUUGGCUUCGCCAGGCACGGCUGCAGGUACUCCCUCUCACUUUUCCCCUUCUUCUUCCUGUCGUUGGGUUCUGAAUCUAAGCGCGCGCGCACACACACAGGCUGGUCCUGGUGGGCGACGAGGGCGCCCUGGCCGCGACGGCGGAGGAGGCGCGGCCCAAGGGGCGGCGGCCAUCGUGGUGCUUGGGCUGGACUUGGCGGCCUGCGACGAGGCAGCCGUCGGCGCCGCGGUGGACGCGGCGUGGCGCUGCUUCGGGGACGGCGGGCUCCAUGCCCUUGUCAACUGCUGCUCCUUCGAGGGUAUGCACAUACUAAUGACAGACACUGAUACACAUGCCCAAUUUUCCAUCUGACAGAAUUUUUUCACACAUGCCCAAGCCCGACUAAUCACCAACCUAAAUGAUUGUCAGUUCUUCUCUGAAUAUUUCAGUCAGCUUAUCAUCCAGUAAUUUCGUCCAUGCAUCUGUAUUUGGCUACUGUAUGAGCAGGGGAAGUGCAAGAUUGCCUCAGCGUGACUGAAGAUGAGUACAACAAGACCAUGAAAGUCAAUGUAAUCACACCUUGGCUCCUGAUAAAGGCGAUAGCGAAGCGGUCCCGGGAUGCGCAGUCGGGCGGCUCCGUGGUUUGCUUGACCCAGAUCAUCGGCGCUGAGAAAGGAUUGUAUCCGGGGGCUGCGGCAUACGGCACAAGUUUAGGCGCCGUUCACCAGCUCGUCAGAGUAAGCCUGCUUUCCUGUUACCAAAAAAGCCUGAAUGAUUGCUCACGGAAAUCCUGAAUGCAUACAUGACCAUGAUGUUCUUCGUUUUUUCAGCUGUCGGCGAUGGAGCUCGGCAAGCACAAGAUCAGGGUGAACGCCGUCUGCCGCGGCCUCCACCUGGGGGACAAGUUCCCUCUCUCUGUUGGGGAGGAGAAGGCCGAGAAGGCGACCGGGGAGGUGAUGCCGCUGCGGCGGUGGCUGGACCCGGACAAGGACCUCGCUUCCACGGUGUUGUACCUGGUCGGCGACGACUCCCGCUUCAUGACAGGCACCACCAUCUAUGUCGACGGUGCACAGUCCAUUGUGCGCCCUCGCAUGCGUUCCUUCCUGUAGGUAGGUUAGUCAUGCUGAUCCUGGGGCUGGUUGGCCAUGCUUGGAUUUCACAUUCCAUCAGGAUGACUCCCUGAUAUCUUGUUGUUGUUGUUGUUGAAUAGCAAUAGCGGUUUGUGCAAAGGGAUCAACUGCCAUAAUUAAGCAGUCUCUAUGAAUGCAAUAAUUAACAGGGUUUAAUAUGGUAGAGUAAAGAUCAAAAUUGACAAAGAGUAUCCAGAAUCAACAUGAGUGGCACAGCAGGCCCUUCUUCAGAUUAAAAGACAAACGCAGAACCUUGCUGCACACAGGCAUCAAAGGAGUGAAAUGGAUUGAGUAGUCGACAUGUGAGCUACCAUGUUUCUAUACAUCUGUAAUUAGUUCUUAGUAUUUUUCCUUCAUUUUUGUAGUUAUGCCACCUGAUUACGUUCCUGCCCUGUAACCUGUUGUUUCCCUCUUAAUGAAUGAAAAGCAGCACCUGCUGCAGUUCGUCAAAAAAUAAUCGUACCAUCGUCACGGACGCGGGGCUAAACAGGACUGUGGGUGUCUGUGCUUUUCAGGUGGACCAAGCCGUAUCAAUGGCGUUCGGAGAGAACGGAGCAACCAACUACAUCCGCAUCCAGGUAAAUAAUUUAUCUUGUACUGUAAUUUUCUUCACGGCUGCUGAAUUAUUAUUACCACUGUGAAAUGUGAGUCAACCAAAGCUUACUGUCCCAAUUGUUCCUGUCCUCAGGGUAACGGCAUUACCGCCGGAGCGACGACGGAGGCGGCCAUGGCGGAGCGGGGGGUGGAGUCGGUCCUGUUCCGGGGGAAGAAGCUGAUGCCGCAGACCAACGACGAGCGGCUGGACGGCGUGGUGGAGCAGCUGGUGCGGGAUCCUCCGUGAUUCGGCCAUUGCCAUUCUCCACGGAUCUGGCCGUGGCCACAACCGACGCUGUCGGUUCCAUGGAGGAGCUCACCCCGGCCUUCUCCUCGUUUUCCUCCAUGGUCGGGUCUCCUGGUGGAGGUGCCGAUGCUGCCGGUUCCACAACGCAAGAGCCCGUGGCAACGCGGCAAACUGAAGUUGUUCGCCGGCGUCGCACAGGGCGUCUUUGGCGUCGCAGGAAACCCUACCUUGGGGUUGGCAUAGGGCAUCUCUGGCGUCGUAUGAAACCCCACCGCGGGGCUGGUGCAGGGAGUGGCCGACCAUCCCACCCUGCUGAAGCCGCAGGGCGUCUCUGCCAAGUCCAUGGUUGGCGAGUCCAAGGCCGUCUCUAUCCAGGCCUCCGUGGUUGAGGCGAACUGCACUAACAUCGAUGUCUGCCCUGAACUGUUGUAAGUUUACUGACCGCGUGCUUCUGAUUUCUAAUGUAUUCUUGCUGUUUGCAUUUCUCUCAUUCGUACCCUCGUAUUACAGUGCAUCUAAAAGCUCUUGUGACGAUGGAAAGUCUACCUCCAAGGGACCAAAAAAGAAAAUCGGUCCUAAAAGAUCGUAAGUUGAUCACUAGAUCCAUAUACACGUCUGAUAUCGUGCUGUGUCCAUCUGUUCAUCGUUUCAUGAUCUGGUCCAUGGUUUCUGUAUUUGCAGUUCGCUUGACACAUCUACUCACGAUGACAGUGAAGUAUAUCAAGCUGGUGCUAAAAGAAGGUUUGUGUUUAUCCUCUCUAAUAUAUUUUUACUGUUGUUGUACUUGGUUGGUCGCUAAUGCUUUUUUGAUACAACAUAAGCAGGACUCUUAACCCCUCUAUUCCUCAUAAGGAGAGCUUGGAGUCUGAAGAUUUUUCUGCAAAGUAGGUUUCCCUUUGGCUCUAAUUCAUGAUAUUUGGUAACUUGUUGUUGUUGUAGUUAUAUUGAUAACCUGGUGAUUUCAGAUACCAACAAAAAUUUAUUUGCCUAUAUUACGGUUGCAGAAGUCCUUGUGGAUAUCCUAUACAGUAUAAAUAUGAACCACCACUUGGUGGAUCGCUGCUGUUUAGAGCUCUGCUCUGUUAAUGCUACUUUGAGUCUAGAUGGCAUUAACUACAGAGAAGGGAUCUAGCUAGGUUUGCAAUGGCAUGUGUACUAACGAAUCAUUUUAGUCUCAGGUUUUCCCUGCAAAACUGAAGUUCAUGUCUCAUGUUUGGAUUAAUCACGGUGUAGUCUGAUGGUAAUUUGUCUACUUAGUGCAGUUUAUGUAUUCUUCCACAACUUCAUUUAAUGCUUUCAGAGUUAAAGUUUUGGGGAUAGUUUGGAUGUUAUACCCAAGGCAUUAUAAUUGCUCUAUAUUAUUCUUAAUUUCAUAUAUCAUCACCUUAGACUACUCGAACUGUCGGCCAUGCUUUGUGAUCAUGUGCGACGAGCAUAUUGUUCGGUGCUGCUAUUUUCCAUUCGCUGCUGGGUUGCUUCUACUCUCCACCAAUCUGUCAAGUAGCAAAGAGUAGGUUUGACCUCAAUUUCGAUGNNNNNNNNNNNNNNNNNNNNNNNNNNNNNNNNNNNNNNNNNNNNNNNNNNNNNNNNNNNNNNNNNNNNNNNNNNNNNNNNNNNNNNNNNNNNNNNNNNNNNNNNNNNNNNNNNNNNNNNNNNNNNNNNNNNNNNNNNNNNNNNNNNNNNNNNNNNNNNNNNNNNNNNNNNNNNNNNNNNNNNNNNNNNNNNNNNNNNNNNNNNNNNNNNNNNNNNNNNNNNNNNNNNNNNNNNNNNNNNNNNNNNNNNNNNNNNNNNNNNNNNNNNNNNNNNNNNNNNNNNNNNNNNNNNNNNNNNNNNNNNNNNNNNNNNNNNNNNNNNNNNNNNNNNNNNNNNNNNNNNNNNNNNNNNNNNNNNNNNNNNNNNNNNNNNNNNNNNNNNNNNNNNNNNNNNNNNNNNNNNNNNNNNNNNNNNNNNNNNNNNNNNNNNNNNNNNNNNNNNNNNNNNNNNNNNNNNNNNNNNNNNNNNNNNNNNNNNNNNNNNNNNNNNNNNNNNNNNNNNNNNNNNNNNNNNNNNNNNNNNNNNNNNNNNNNNNNNNNNNNNNNNNNNNNNNNNNNNNNNNNNNNNNNNNNNNNNNNNNNNNNNNNNNNNNNNNNNNNNNNNNNNNNNNNNNNNNNNNNNNNNNNNNNNNNNNNNNNNNNNNNNNNNNNNNNNNNNNNNNNNNNNNNNNNNNNNNNNNNNNNNNNNNNNNNNNNNNNNNNNNNNNNNNNNNNNNNNNNNNNNNNNNNNNNNNNNNNNNNNNNNNNNNNNNNNNNUGGUUGCCUCAAAGUAAUGCCCUGCUACUCCUUGGGGGGCGUGAGUGAAGAUUUAUGCCUUAAGCAUAGGAAUGAGGGAGUAGGUAUCCAACAGAAUAGGCGAUGAUGCUAGGAGAAAAAGAAGACUUUGAUCUGGUUCUUCAAAGAGGUACAUCAAGGAACAAGUACAUGGUGCUACUCGAUGGUCAGCCAGAUUCUGACUAUUAUUUUGGGAUGCCAAAGAGAUAGCACAUGAUGUUCGACCGCUGGGGAAUUGAAGUAUAGUGCUUACCAAUAUACUGGCAUGUAUUUUUUUCUAAAGGAUAUAGUGGUUUCCUUUAGUUGAAAUACAUAAAAUUUUCACCCCCAAUGAUUCAACAAGAGUUGUUCAUUAAAAGUGUGUGGUCUCUUUCUUCAUCAAGAAUUGAAAUAUCUGUGCUAUUAUAACUCCAUGGAGAGCAAUAAUAUAAUUUUCACAAGGGGUGACCUUUAUUGGCUAAUUGUAUAGUUUAUGAUCUUAUGGAGUUUAGGUUUGUAAAUCCAUGUAUUUUUUAGAUGAAGAAACAAAGGAGAUGACUAUAUCAAGGAUCACAUAUGGUUAAAUGUAGAAACAAUGAACACGGUGGCAUAUCAGUUGCAACAUGGUGAAAAUUUUAGGAUAGAAGGAUAAACGAAUUGCCCGGCCUGUUCAAGAGUUAAUAAAAAAAUGAACAGAGUGGCACAAGAAUACUUUGCGGUAAUGCAUGCUAUUCGAUUGUAUGUUACAACGUGGCAAUGACUCAGGAUAUAUCGGAUCUGCCUUUAUGACAGUGGUGGAUCAGCACGAACACAAGGGGUGGGGAUCAGGGCAGAGAGUAGGCGGUUGGCUGGGGACUCCUUGGUGGUCCGUGGGGGAUAUACAAUUGAAGGUGGGAGGGCGCCAUGGCGAGGUGAGGUGGGCAUCAUCUGAUUUUAAAGAAGAGGGCUCUAGCGAGAAAUGUCCCGCUACAGCAGGAAACCGAGCGGGAAGGGAUGGGUUCAACAGAAAAAGGGAAUGGUGCGUCGUGGGUUGAGUUUUUUGUGUUAGGACCGUGUAUUGGAGAUAAAAUGACGGAUAGUCCGGAGAAGCACAUUUCUCCUCCACAGAUGGUCUGGAUUUGAAGAAGUACAUAUUGUCCAGAUGGUUGAAUAUUGGGGUGCAUGCAGGGUGCCUGUUUGAUGUUCGAACAUGCCCAAAUAGACGAGGAAGAAAUGAACUUCGACCUUUGAGACGGCCUUAAUCAUCUGUUCGAUUCAUUUAUAUAAAUCGCAUUAUAUGUAUGCAUUGUCAAAUUGCCUUUUAUUAACAGUUUACAAUGUAAGUGAAGUGGACUUAAAUUAUUACUUGAUUAUACCUGUGCUAUCUUUUUUUAUAUGCAUUAUGUUUACAUAAUUCCAGCAAAAUAUUUCAAGAGUCCGUGGCAACGCACGGGCAUUAUACUAGUAGGUAUAGGUAUAGGUAUAGGUAUAGGUAAUAGGUAAUUAUGGUGGAGAAACCAAACUUUGAUAAAAUGUUUAAAGGCUCCGAAAUAAUUAAAACAUUAGUUAAAACAAUUAAAUAAAUGCUUUUUGGAAUUAAUAAAAUAUUAAACUAAAUUAUUUAGUUGCCCAAACUUAUGUGGCAGUAGCAUAAUUUUUAACACUAAAUUAGGGACAACUUUUAUAAUUUAUAAAACUAAAAUAAAAGGAAACUAAAAAUAAAACAGAAAAGAAAAAUAAACAAAAAAUAAAAC
rnacentral:lncRNA from 1 species